rnacentral:rRNA from 1 species
GGCGGUCUACUUCACGCGUUAGCUGCGUUACCAAGUUAAUUAAAACCCGACAACUAGUAGACAUCGUUUAGGGCGUGGGACUACCAGGGCUAUCUAAUCCUGUUUGCUCCCCACGCUUUCGUGCAUGGAGCGUCAGUCUUGGACCCAGGGGGCUGCCUUCGCCCAUCGGUGUUCCUCCACAUCUCUUACGCAUUUCACUGCUACACGUGGGAAUUCUACCCCCCUCUGCGCAGACUCCAACGCUUUGCAUUCUCCAACGUAAUUCCCCAGGUUGAGCCCGGGGAUUUCACGUGUAGCACUUAACAAAACCGCCUGCGCACGCUUUACGCCCAGUAAUUACGAUUCAACGCUUGCCACCUCUUACGUAUUACCGCGGCCUGCUGGUCACGUUAGUU